UUUUGUUUGUUUGCCUGUUAUUCUCACUAAAUACGGAAAAAGAGCUCUGCAGAAAGGCCUUUGUGAUGCUACUUCUUAAAAAAUUAAAGUGCAAUUUAUGAGGAAAUUAGAUUCAGAUAGGAUAAAUAAAAUGGGUCUAAGCAUCUCAAAUUUUGAUGCCAAUCAUGAAAUAUUUGGUAUUUAAAUAUUUUUAUUAGCUUAGUUCUAAGGGCCUAAACUUCUACUUGGA
rnacentral:lncRNA from 1 species